UUGCGCUUUUAGAGCGGCCGAUGUCUGAUUAGCUAGUUGGUGAGGUAAAGGCUUACCAAGGCUUCGAUCAGUAGCUGGUCUGAGAGGACGACCAGCCACACUGGGACUGAGACACGGUCCAGACUCCUACGGGAGGCAGCAGUGGGGAAUUUUGGACAAUGGGGGAAACCCUGAUCCAGCCAUNCCGCGUGAGUGAAGAAGGCCUUCGGGUUGUAAAGCUCUUUCAGCCGGAACGAAACGGUCACGGCUAAUACCUGUGAUCACUGACGGUACCUGGAAGAAGAAGCACCGGCUAACUACGUGCCAGCAGCCGCGGUAAUACGUAGGGUGCGAGCGUUAAUCGGAAUUACUGGGCGUAAAGCGUGCGCAGGCGGUUUUGUAAGUCAGAUGUGAAAUCCCCGGGCUUAACCUGGGAACU
rnacentral:rRNA from 1 species